UUCCAGACUCCUACGGGAGGCAGCAGUGGGGAAUAUUGCACAAUGGGGGAAACCCUGAUGCAGCGACGCCGCGUGAGCGAUGAAGUAUUUCGGUAUGUAAAGCUCUAUCAGCAGGGAAGAAGAUGGCGGUACCUGACUAAGAAGCCCCGGCUAACUACGUGCCAGCAGCCGCGGUAAUACGUAGGGGGCAAGCGUUAUCCGGAUUUACUGGGUGUAAAGGGGGCGCAGACGGCGAUGCAAGCCAGGAGUGAAAGCCCGGGGCCCAACCCCGGGACUGCUCUUGGAACUGCGUGGCUGGAGUGCAGGAGGGGCAGGCGGAAUUCCUGGUGUAGCGGUGAAAUGCGUAGAUAUCAGGAGGAACACCGGUGGCGAAGGCGGCCUGCUGGACUGCAACUGACGUUGAGGCCCGAAAGCGUGGGGAGCAAACAGGAUUAGAUACCCCAGUA
rnacentral:rRNA from 1 species